CGAUGAUGGAGAGCAGCGCGUCGCUAUAGGCCAGGAGCCGGGUGGAGGCCUGGGUGCGGCCCAGCUCCUCGCUGAGCCGCGGGGGCCCCGGCGCCGCCUCCCCCUCUGCCUGGGGCCGCAGCGCGGACAUAGAGAUGGAGGAAGGACAACCACAUAUCUACAAGGAGAGAAAGUGGCACCAUUAGCUGGAAGAUAUAGGGUACGGAAAGCUCUCAAGGAAGAGAAGCACAUCAGUCAUCUCAAGAAAAUCCAGUCUCUGACUAUUGGAUUAACAAAAGGCUUCUCAAAGUGGGAGUGAAGAUACUUAGGAAUUGAAGCUUCCUGUCUGCCUCUUGACUGAUCACACAGGAGUAAAACCGCAUAGGGUUAAGACUGAUCAGUUUGAGAUGUUCAUUCGUAUAGUAUUAAAAAUUUUAUUAAGUUGUUUCCAGGACAACUUGCUCUGUUUGCUCCAUGGAAAUAGUAAAGACUCAUGCACCUGCAAAGGCUGGACUAAAUGCCUUUUCUUGCAGUACUGGAAGACACUUCAGGUAAAUUAACCAUCAAUUCUGAUGAGUGAGCAACUGUCCUCAUCAGUUUUCCAAACCAACCUGUUACCUGAAGUAAAGAAGUCGAAAGGAAUUCUGCAGUUGGAUGUGUAUUGUAUCAUAGACUAUCAGGGGUGGGAGGAACCUCAGGAGGUCAUCUAGUCCAACCCCCUGCUCAAAGCAGGACCAAUCCACAAUUUUUGCCCCAGAUCCCUAAAUGGCCCCCUCACAGAUCGAGCUCACAAGGGUGGGUUUAGCAGGCCAAUGCUCAAACCACUGAGCUAUCCCUCCCCCCUCUAGAUAUGCCCUGUAGAUAUUCCUGAGCCUGUAGGGGAAGAUUUUGCAAAGCAUAGCCUCUGAGUAUAUGAAGUAUGUUAGAAGUCUCUAAAAUUCAUUAAUACAAAAUAGUGAAUAGAUGCACCAUGAUCAGGUUAAUAGUCCCAUGGUAUACAGACCCUUUCAGGGUAAUCCUAGGCCAGCACAAUCCUGCUCCAAGUUCUGACCAGUACUGAGAGUUCUAGUUCCUAGAGGUCAGGAGACAGAGCAAGCAAGGCCUGUUGGGAAGGGGGACAGGUUAUAAGUCGGGGCGGGCAAACUUUUUCGCCUGAGGGCCGCAUCGGGUUACGGAAAUUGUAUGGAGGGCCAGUUAGGGGAGGGGGUUGUGUCCUGGCCCCCACCUCCUAUCAGCCCCCCUUCCCCAGAACUCCUGCCCUGUCCAACCUGCCCUGUUCCCUGAUGGCCACUAUGGGACCCCUGCCCCAUCCACACACCGCCGCUCCCUGUCCCCUGACUGCCCCUGUACUCCCUCCCCUAACUGCCCCCCGCCGCCCCAUCCAACCCCCUUCCUCCUUCUCCUUCCUGAUUGCCCUGCUGGGACCCGCCGCCCCAUCCAGCCCCCCCGCUCCGUGCCCCCUUACCGCGCUGCCUGGAGCACCGGUGGCUGGCGGCGCUACAGCCGCGCCACCUGGCUGGAGCCGGGCCACACCUCAGCUGCCACCAUGCAGCACAGAGCACCGGGUCAGGCCAGGCUCUGGAGCUGCGCUGCCCCAGGAGCUCACAGCCCCCCCACCCAGAGCAUUGCACCCGCGGUGAGGUGAGGCUGCGGGGCAGGGGGGGACAGCAGGGGACGGACUGGGGGUGAGCCUCCCGGGGCAGAAGCUCAGGGGCUAGGCCAGAUGUGGCCUGUGGGCCGUAGUUUGCCCACCUCUGUUACAAGUGAAGCCUAUUGCAUAGAACAGAGAGCAGCCGGGGGAGCAGUGUGCCUGGGAAUUUCUUCAGUCCUCUAGUCCCUAGGGAAGAGAGCUGGAAAGAAGCCAGGGAUGUCCAGAGGCCUAGAAAAGGCCAAAGACCAGUGAUGCAGCUGGGACUCUCACUUUGAAGGAGUGUCUCCUUUAGCAGUAAAGCAGUAGUUUCUUAACAUUAUGUCAGAAAUAAGAAGUUAUGCACACAACUAGCCUAGUGAAUAGUUUGUUCUUAUAUAUUGUCUUUAUUCUCCCUCCCAUUGUUCCCCUGGUUGCAUCUUUUUUUUAAAUUAGAAUGUCAAUUCUGCUUUGUAUGGUGUGUGGUAGGGUCCAGUCCUGACUGGGGGCCACAAUACUGGUAAUAUAUUUAAACUUUUUGUUACGGUGUGCUGGAGUAGAAUUUUUAUAAUUGGAUGAGUUGGUGGGUACCAUGAGACUUGUUCAUAUGGUGUUGCAGGUUUAUGUAAAUGGCCGUAGCUCUUGUAAGCUUGUGUUUAACUCUUAUGUAGCAUGUAAUAUGUGGCUCUUUGUAGUGAAAAAUUAUAUGUUAGUGUUCUACAAGACUGGAAAGUGGUCACUUGAAUACAAUUAUAAGCUAUUUUAAAACUAUAAAUAUAUAUUUCUGCAAAUUUUAUGCCUCAGAAUUGAGGCUGGGGUAGUGUAAGCUGAGUAGAAUAAAACACAAAUACUAUCUAAAGGCACUUAUUUUGGGGGGAAGUUGAAAACUGGGUUUAUGUUUGGGGAAAUAGCUUCAACCAUAAGUAUGGAAUAGUUCUAAUCUGAGAAAUGAGAGUAUAAAAAGGUGCAUUUUCAGUGCUGCAUCUGUGGAUUCAGUCAUAACUAUUCUAUUUAAUGCACAUACGAUCGGACAACUUUUUACUCCUGCAAAACACAGUUCUAGCAAAAUGGAGUGGAUUCUUAUCUGGUUGGUUUAUCAGCAGAAUUAAAUUCUGUAAGCACUAUUGCCUGUGCAAUCACACUAUCUUCAUUAUUUCUUUGCCACCCCACUUAAAGCUAUAUGGUUACACAGGUAUUACUGAAGGCAACAUUUUCUCUGCAGAAUCUGUUGCUGGUGGUGAUGGAUGAAGAAAUUAGUUUUUUACUUCAUUAGACUGAGCUUGCAGAGCUGAACUGGAGAACAGGUGUAAACUGAGCUAAGGUGAGACAGAAAUUACUGAGACAAACAUAGAAUAGGGUUGCCAGGUGUCCGGUUUUCAACCGGAAUGCCCAAUUGAAAAGGGACCCUGGCAGCUCCGGUAAGCA